rnacentral:rRNA from 1 species
UACGGGGGGAGCAAGCGUUGUCCGGAUUUAUUGGGCGUAAAGAGCGUGUAGGCGGCCAGAUAGGUCUGGUGUGAAAACUCGAGGCUUAACCUCGAGAUGUCAUCGGAAACCAUCUGGCUAGAGUCCGGAAGAGGAGAGUGGAAUUCCUGGUGUAGCGGUGAAAUGCGCAGAUAUCAGGAAGAACACCCGUGGCGAAGGCGGCUCUCUGGGACGGUACUGACGCUGAGACGCGAAAGCGUGGGGAGCGAACAGG